GACUCAAAAUCAUCAACAUACAUUGUUUUAUGCUUUCUGCAGUUAUAUAUGGAGGAGGACGAUAUGUUAUUCAUCAUUCUCUUGCAGCUUUUGGAUGCUCCACUUAUUUCGUUGGCAAUAGAUAAGAUGGAAACUAAAUGGACGUCUGAACUGAUUGGUGCCAAACUGUUCUCCACCAUUUUUUACCCAGUUUAUAUUUUUCAUCAAUGGC